AGAGUUUGAUCCUGGCUCAGGAUGAACGCUAGCUAUAGGCUUAACACAUGCAAGUCGAGGGGAAACGGCAUUAUGUGCUUGCACAUUCUGGACGUCGACCGGCGCACGGGUGAGUAUCGCGUAUCCAACCUUCCCUCCACUCGGGGAUACCCCGUUGAAAGACGGCCUAAUACCCGAUGUUGUCCACAUAUGGCAUCUGACGUGGACCAAAGAUUCAUCGGUGGAGGAUGGGGAUGCGUCUGAUUAGCUUGUUGGUGCGGGUAACGGCCCACCAAGGCGACGAUCAGUAGGGGUUCUGAGAGGAAGGUCCCCCACAUUGGAACUGAGACACGGUCCAAACUCCUACGGGAGGCAGCAGUGAGGAAUAUUGGUCAAUGGACGGAAGUCUGAACCAGCCAAGUAGCGUGCAGGAUUGACGGCCCUAUGGGUUGUAAACUGCUUUUGUUGGGGAGUAAAGUGAGGCACGCGUGCCUUUUUGCAUUUACCCUUCGAAUAAGGACCGGCUAAUUCCGUGCCAGCAGCCGCGGU
rnacentral:rRNA from 4 species